GACCAGGCGGAAUAAUCUCUCCCGGGGGGGAGGGGGGGUCUGGUGGGGGGAGCCGGCGACCCCUGGACGUGGCCGGGACUACAUUUCCCAAGAUGCUCUGCGCCUGGGUUUCGUUCGGCGCUGAGUAGCGACCCGGGAUUGAGCUCUUCGUUGACAAUUGGAAGUGCUUUUAUCACUUUGGACCUAAUGGAUAAAGAAAGGAGCCAUAUGCCUCCAGAAGACUGCUCCCUUGGUCAUAAGAGAGAACAUCUGAAGGACCGUCUAAGGCUUCACGGGGGAGGACCUGAUUGCCAGAGUCGAUGAGGUUUGCCCUCCAGGUUUCGGGGAAUGGAUUCUACCAUGAUGAAGAGGCUCACCAUGUGCAGAGCUGCUCAGCUGACAUGUCUGUGGGAAGAAGAAAAAAAUGUUCUCUUCAAAGGAAUCAAUUUUUGUGGUUACACAUUUGGGUGUUUGGGUUGACAUUGGCCAGUUCCUUCUGAAACCUGAAAACUUCUUUAAGUUCCCCCCAUCAUGUUAAUUCGUAGGAAGUUGACAUCUUUAAAAAGCUGUGGGGGGAAAACAUCACUUAUAAAACCACAUAACACUAUCCUAUGUACACACACUAUAUGACAUCAUGGUUUAAGUUCUAAAUACAGGGAAUAGCUCUUUUAGAUUUAAUGCUAAGAUGUGGGUUUGGGUGUGAUUAUAGGAUAGAGAAAUAGAUACUUUCCUUGUCCAUAAUUAGUUGCAAUUCCUUAUUGUGUUUAAAAUCAACACAAACAAACUUAUGUUCCAUUGACUGCCCUUUUGUGUUAAUUGUAAAGUUUCUAGCUGAGGACUUGUAGAAGAAAUCAGAUGAGGAGUGGUAGAAUUACUGAGAUGCCUAUGAUGGUUUCACUGUAUUGAUUUGCUUUUUCAUUUUUCAUUGAUCCAUCUCUCUGUCCAUCGGUGGCUGGGAUGAAACCUUAGAGAUUUGUUCAUGAAUAAACUAUCCUGCUGAUGGGGAAGGAUUUGCA
rnacentral:lncRNA from 1 species